AUGGAUGGGCUCGGGAACUCUGCGCUGAACGCCUCAGAAGCGGUGAUGAAGAGGCCCAGGAGCGUGGCGUCCAGGAGACCGAGGCCCAAGGAGCAGCUUGCUUCUGAGUACAAGGACAUAUCCUGCGCGCCUUCGCGGAGCAUUUCCCCAGAAGACGAGGCUGCUGCCGAGGCCAGCGGGCACCGGCGCAAGGAGCUGUACCUCAAUGGGUCUGAAGGUAGGGGCUCCACCCACCAUAGGAAUGCCCUGUCCAAGAAGAUAAAGAAAGAGGAGGGAUCUGCAGGCGAUAAUGAUAUUGUCCACAAUCGGAGCAGCAAGCCCAACGAUGCCAAGCAUAUUACUCAUGGUGUUCUUGCACUGGCCUCCUCAAGAAACUCUGGAUCGACUGAUGCCUCGCAGUUGUCCUCAAGGGACACCCCUGUGCCAGUGGAAAAUAGGGUGAGAAAAGUUAAGCUCAAGGUCAGCGGACUUAACCGAAUCAUACCGAAACAAGAGCCUGUUGACGUUGGCAUGCCUGGCACAUCGGAUGUCUCUUUCCAUCGCCAAAAGCAGAAGGAUUCUGGUGAGCAGAAACAUCACAGCACAAGAAAGGAUAGUCAUGGUAAUCACGUUGAUGGAAAACGUGGAGAUAAGCAUGACAUUUCACCAUCUUCUGACCUGGUUCGCAAAAGCAAAAGGGUCCCUAAGAAGCGAACUCUUGAUUCUGAUGAUGAAGACCGUGAGUUACGUUAUCUUGAGAAACUUAAAGUGGCUAAAGCUGCACCAGAACAGCCCAUGGCUACUGACCAGCCUCUAGCUUAUGGUUAUGGUGAGGAUGGUCUCAGGAAAAAGAAGCUAUCCAAGGUUUCUAAAAAUAAGAGCACUCCUUAUGAAGUGGACAACGACUUCACUAUGUCACAAUUUAGCAGAGAUGUUCGGAAGAAGGUGAAACUGGAGGAUACCAGUGAUUUUAUUGUAGAGGAGGAAUUUGGGUUGGACGAGUCUGAUAGAUUAAUUGAAGCUGAUUCACCAUCGGGUGUAAAGAUUGAAGCUCCUGGCCUAACAACAAGGCAGCGAGCCCUCCAAGGCAGGGGUGGCCAUGGUGAAAGCAUGAUUGAAUUUCCCGACGGGUUACCAGCUGCUCCAUCAUCUAGAAGGCAAAAGGAUAAGCUUUCAGACGUGGAGAUACAGGCCAAAAAAGCAGAAGUGGCUCAGAGGCGUAAGAUGCAAGUAGAGAAGGCAGAGAGAGAGCAACAGGCUGAAGCAAUGAGGAAAAUAUUGGGGAUUGACACCGAGAAGAAGAAGGAAGAGAGGAAGCAGAAAGAACGUGAAGACAAGGAAAAGCAAGCAAAAUUCGAGGAAUAUAAAAGAAGCUGCAUCCAGUGCGUAAUGCGACCAGAAGGAACAGUUAUUACAUUCCCUGAUACCAUGGGCCUUCCUAGCAUAUUUAACUCCAAACCUAUCAGCUACCCUCCUCCAAGGGAGAAGUGCGCAGGCCCCUCGUGCCCAAACCCUUACAAGUACCGUGACUCCAAGACAAAGCUCCCGCUCUGCAGCCUGGAGUGCUACAAGGCCGUCCAGGGAGGCGCUGGGACGAUGGCGUGCUGA
rnacentral:rRNA from 1 species